rnacentral:rRNA from 1 species
GACGAACGCUGGCGGCGUGCUUAACACAUGCAAGUCGAACGGAAAGGCCCUUCGGGGUACCCGAGUGGCGAACGGGUGGGUAACACGUGGGUGAUCUGCUCUGCACUUUGGGAUAAGCCUGGGAAACUGGGUCUAAUACCGAAUAGGACCACGCGCUUCAUGGCGUGUGGUGGAAAGCUUUUGCGGUGUGGGAUGGGCCCGCGGCCUAUCAGCUUGUUGGUGGGGUAAUGGCCUACCAAGGCGACGACGGGUAGCCGGCCUGAGAGGGUGACCGGCCACACUGGGACUGAGAUACGGCCCAGACUCCUACGGGAGGCAGCGGUGGGGAGUAUUGCACAAUGGGCGCAAGCCUGAUGCGGCGACGCCGCGUGAGGGAUGACGGCCUGCGGGUUGUAAACCUCUUUCAAUAGGGACGAAGCGCAAGUGACGGUACCUAAAGAAGAAGCACCGGCCAACUACGUG